UGUAGCUCAGUUGGUAGAGCAUGGCAUUUGCAAUGCCAGGAAGGUAGGUUUGAUUCCUGGUACCA
rnacentral:tRNA from 1 species